UACGGAGGAUCCAAGCGUUAUCCGGAUUUAUUGGGUUUAAAGGGUGCGCAGGCGGAAGAUUAAGUCGGUGGUGAAAUUUUGAAGCUCAACUGUAAAAGUGCCAUCGAUACUGGUUUUCUUGAGUGUGGAUGAAGUAGGCGGAAUUUGUGGUGUAGCGGUGAAAUGCAUAGAUAUCACGAGGAACUCCGAUUGCGCAGGCAGCUUACUAGGCCAUAACUGACGCUCAGGCACGAAGGCGUGGGGAUCAAACAGGAUUAGAUA
rnacentral:rRNA from 1 species